rnacentral:rRNA from 1 species
UACGUAGGGGGCAAGCGUUGUCCGGAUUCAUUGGGCGUAAAGGGCGCGUAGGUGGCGCCGUAAGUCGGGUGUGAAAUUUCGGAGCUUAACUCCGAAACUGCAUUCGAUACUGCGGUGCUUGAGGACUGGAGAGGAGACUGGAAUUCAUGGUGUAGCAGUGAAAUGCGUAGAGAUCAUGAGGAAGACCAGUGGCGAAGGCGGGUCUCUGGACAGUUCCUGACACUGAGACACGAAAGCCAGGGGAGCAAACGGG